GGGGAAUAUUGCACAAUGGGCGCAAGCCUGAUGCAGCCAUGCCGCGUGUGUGAAGAAGGCCUUCGGGUUGUAAAGCACUUUCAGCGAGGAGGAAGGGUUCAGUGUUAAUAGCACUGUUCAUUGACGUUACUCGCAGAAGAAGCACCGGCUAACUCCGUGCCAGCAGCCGCGGUAAUACGGAGGGUGCAAGCGUUAAAUCGGAAAUUACUGGGCGUAAAAGCGCACGCAGGCGGUUUGUUAAGUCAGAUGUGAAAAUCCCCGCGCUUAACGUG
rnacentral:rRNA from 1 species